CCUACGGGAGGCAGCAGUGGGGAAUAUUGGGCAAUGGGCGCAAGCCUGAACCAGCAACGCCGCGUGAAGGAAGAAGGCUCUCGGGUUGUAAACUUCUUUUCUGAGGGACGAAGAAAGUGACGGUACCUCAGGAAUAAGCCACGGCUAACUACGUGCAAGCAGCCGCGGUAAUACGGAGGUGGCAAGCGUUAUCCGGAUUUAUUGGGUGUAAAGGGCGUGUAGGCGGGAAAGCAAGUCAGAUGUGAAAACUCAGGGCUCAACCCUGAGCCUGCAUUUGAAACUGUUUCUCUUGAGUACUGGAGAGGCAAGCGGAAUUCCGUGUGUAGCGGUGAAAUGCGUAGAUAUACGGAGGAACACCAGUGGCGAAGGCGGACUGCUGGACAGUAACUGACGCUGAUGCGCGAAAGCGUGGGGAGCAAACAGGAUUAGAUACCCGGGUAGUC
rnacentral:rRNA from 1 species